rnacentral:rRNA from 1 species
AUUGAACGCUGGCGGAAUGCUUUACACAUGCAAGUCGAACGGCAGCACGGGGCAACCUGGUGGCGAGUGGCGAACGGGUGAGUAAUACAUCGGAACGUGCCCAAUCGUGGGGGAUAACGUAGCGAAAGCUACGCUAAUACCGCAUACGAUCUACGGAUGAAAGCGGGGGAUCGCAAGACCUCGCGCGAAUGGAGCGGCCGAUGGCAGAUUAGGUAGUUGGUGGGGUAAAGGCUCACCAAGCCUGCGAUCUGUAGCUGGUCUGAGAGGACGACCAGCCACACUGGAACUGAGACACGGUCCAGACUCCUACGGGAGGCAGCAGUGGGGAAUUUUGGACAAUGGGCGCAAGCCUGAUCCAGCCAUUCCGCGUGCAGGAUGAAGGCCCUCGGGUUGUAAACUGCUUUUGUACAGAACGAAAAAGACUCUUUCUAAUACAGAGAGUCCAUGACGGUACUGUAAGAAUAAGCACCGGCUAACUACGUGCCAGCAGCCGCGGUAA